rnacentral:misc_RNA from 1 species
GAUGAAGAACGUAGCGAAAUGCGAUAAGUAAUGCGAAUUGCAGAAUCCGUGAGUCAUCGAAUCUUUGAACGCACAUUGCGCCCUCUGGUAUUCCGGAGGGUAUGCCUGUUCGAGCGUCAUUAUCACCCCUCAAGCCCGGCUUGUUGUUGGAUGCAGCGCUUAUCCCGCUCCUCCCAAAGAUAAUGACGGCGUCUGCGACGACUCCUGUACACUGAGCUUUCGGGCACGUACACGGCUAGAAGUCCAGACCCGGUCGCCGUCCCCCCCGCGGGGACACCCAUUACCACAAGGUUGACCUCGGAUCAGGUAGGAAUACCCGCUGAACUUAAGCAUAUCAAUAAGCGGAGGA